rnacentral:rRNA from 1 species
UGCGUAGGCGGGGCAAUUAGUCAGUGGUGAAAUCCUGCGGCUUAACCGUAGAACUGCCAUUGAUACUGUUGUCCUUGAGUAUAGUUGAGGUGGGCGGAAUGUGUAAUGUAGCGGUGAAAUGCAUAGAGAUUACACAGGACACCAAUUGCGAAGGCAGCUCACUAAGCUAUAACUGACGCUGAGGCACGAAAGCGUGGGGAGCGAACAGGAUUAGAUACCCUGGUAGUCC